GCCAGACUCCUACGGGAGGCAGCAGUGGGGAAUAUUGGGCAAUGGGCGAAAGCCUGACCCAGCAACGCCGCGUGAAGGAAGAAGGCUUUCGGGUUGUAAACUUCUUUUGACAGGGAAGAGCAGAAGACGGUACCUGUCGAAUAAGCCACGGCUAACUACGUGCCAGCAGCCGCGGUAAUACGUAGGGAGCAAGCGUUGUCCGGAAUUACUGGGUGUAAAGGGAGCGUAGGCGGGAUAGUAAGUUGAUUGUUAAAACUAUCGGCUCAACUGGUAGAUGCGAUCAAAACUGCAAUUCUUGAGUGAAGUAGAGGCAGGCGGAAUUCCUAGUGUAGCGGUGAAAUGCGUAGAUAUUAGGAGGAACACCAGUGGCGAAGGCGGCCUGCUGGGCUUUAACUGACGCUGAGGCUCGAAAGUGUGGGUAGCAAACAGGAUUAGAUACCCCAGUAGUU
rnacentral:rRNA from 1 species